rnacentral:rRNA from 1 species
UGGAAGUAAAAGUCGUAACAAGGUUUCCGUAGGUGAACCUGCGGAAGGAUCAUUAAUUAUGUUAAAGCGCCUUACCUCUUAGGGUUUCCUCUGGGGUAAGUGAUUGCUUCUACACUGUGAAAAUUUGGCUGAGAGACUCAGACUGGUCAUGGGUAGACCUAUCUGGGGUUUGAUCGAUGCCACUCCUGGUUUCAGGAGCACCCUUCAUAAUAAACCUAGAAAUUCAGUAUUAUAAAGUUUAAUAAAAAACAACUUUUAACAAUGGAUCUUUUGGUUCUCGCAUCGAUGAAGAACGUAGCAAAGUGCGAUAACUAGUGUGAAUUGCAUAUUCAGUGAAUCAUAGAGUCUUUGAACGCAGCUUGCACUCUAUGGUUUUUCUAUAGAGUACGCCUGCUUCAGUAUCAUCACAAACCCACACAUAACAUUUGUUUAUGUGGUAAUGGGUCGCAUCGCUGUUUUAUUACAGUGAGCACCUAAAAUGUGUGUGAUUUUCUGUCUGGCUUGCUAGGCAGGAAUAUUACGAGGGUAUCAGGAUCUGUUUCUUUGGUUCGCCCAGGAAGUAAAGUCCAAGAGCAUAAUCCAGCAACUUCAAAGGUAGAAUCU